UAAAAAAUUUGGCGGUAUUUUAGUCUAUUCAGAGGAACCUGUUUUGUAAUCGAUAAUCCACGAUGGACCUUACUUAAGUUUGUAUUCAGUUUAUAUACCGUCGUUAUUAGAAUAUUUUAUAAGAAAGUUAAUUUUCAAGAUUUUUAAAAAGAAAAUAUAUCAGAUCAAGGUGUAGCUUAUAUUUAAGUAAAAAUGGGUUACAAUAAAUUUAUUUAAACGAAUAUAAAUUUGAAAAAUUUAUUGAAGGUGGAUUUGAUAGUAAAAUUAUAAAGAUUAAUAAUUUGAUUUUAGCUCUAAAAUAUGCACACAUCGCCCGUCACUCUUACUACUAAGGUAAGAUAAGUCGUAACAUAGUAGAUGUACUGGAAAGUGUAUCUAGAAUGCAAUUUAAAGCUUAUUUAGUAAAGUAUUUCAUUUACAUUGAAAAGAUUUUUGUGCAAAUCAAUAUAAAUUGAUUGUAUUUUAUUUAUUAAUAAUUUUUUUUAAAAAAAUAAAAUAUUAAAAAUAAUUAUUAAAUGUUUUGUUUAAGUAUUUUAUAAAGAAAAAAUAAUUUUAAUUAUAGUUAAAUAGUAUUGUGAAAGAAAAUUGAAAUAAUUUGAAAAAUU
rnacentral:rRNA from 1 species